rnacentral:rRNA from 1 species
GACGAACGCUGGCGGCGUGCUUAACACAUGCAAGUCGAACGGAAAGGCCCUGCUUUUGUGGGGUGCUCGAGUGGCGAACGGGUGAGUAACACGUGAGUAACCUGCCCUUGACUUUGGGAUAACUUCAGGAAACUGGGGCUAAUACCGGAUAGGAGCUCCUGCUGCAUGGUGGGGGUUGGAAAGUUUCGGCGGUUGGGGAUGGACUCGCGGCUUAUCAGCUUGUUGGUGGGGUAGUGGCUUACCAAGGCUUUGACGGGUAGCCGGCCUGAGAGGGUGACCGGCCACCUUGGGACUGAGAUACGGCCCAGACUCCUACGGGCGGCAGCAGUGGGGAAUAUUGCACAAUGGGCGGAAGCCUGAUGCAGCAACGCCGCGUGCGGGAUGACGGCCUUCGGGUUGUAAACCGCUUUCGCCUGUGACGAAGCGUGAGUGACGGUAAUGGGUAAAGAAGCACCGGCUAACUACGUG